rnacentral:rRNA from 1 species
AUCAUGGAGAGUUUGAUCCUGGCUCAGAACGAACGCUGGCGGCGUGUCUUAAGCAUGCAAGUCGAGCGGCAAGGGCUAGCAAUAGCCCCUAGAGCGGCGGACUGGUGAGUAACGCGUGGGUGAUCUACCUCGGGGAUGGGGAUAGCCAUUAGAAAUAGUGGGUAAUACCGAAUACGCUCCUUUGGCUACGGCCAGGGGAGGAAAGGCGCUACGGCGCCGACCUGAGAUGAGCCCGCGUCCCAUUAGCUAGUUGGUGAGGUAACGGCCCACCAAGGCAAUGAUGGGUAGCCGGCCUGAGAGGGUGUACGGCCACACUGGGACUGAGAUACGGCCCAGACUCCUACGGGAGGCAGCAGCUAAGAAUAUUCCGCAAUGGACGAAAGUCUGACGGAGCGACGCCGCGUGGAUGAUGAAGGCCGGAAGGUUGUAAAAUCCUUUUGUCGGGGAAGAAUAAGCAUGGGAGGGAAUGCCCGUGUGAUGACAUGAAC